GGAGGGUGCUAACGUUGCUCGGAAUUACUGGGCGUAAAGCGCAUGCAGGCGGUCUGUUUAGUUUCGUGUGAAAGCCCUGGGCUCAACCCAGGAAGUGCACGGAAUACUGGCAGACUAGAGUACUGGAGAAGUGGACGGAAUUCCCGGUGUAGAGGUGAAAUUCGUAGAUAUCGGGAGGAACACCAGCAGCGAAGGCGGUUCACUAGACAGAUACUGACGCUCAGAUGCGAAAGCGUGGGGGGAGCAAACAGGAUUAGAUACCCUGGUAGUCCACGCCGUAAACGAUGGGCACUAGGUGUCGGGGGCUUGACCCCCCCCUUCGGCGCCAAAGCUAACGCAUUAAGUGCCCCCGCCUGGGGAGUACGGUCGCAAGACUA
rnacentral:rRNA from 1 species